rnacentral:rRNA from 1 species
GGAAGGGGUGUAUUUAUUAGAUUAAAAACCAAUGCCCUUCGGGGCUUCCUGGUGAUUCAUAAUAACUUCUCGAAUCGCACGGCCUUGCGCCGGCGAUGGUUCAUUCAAAUUUCUGCCCUAUCAACUUUCGACGGCUGGGUCUUGGCCAGCCGUGGUGACAACGGGUAACGGAGGGUUAGGGCUCGACCCCGGAGAAGGAGCCUGAGAAACGGCUACUACAUCCAAGGAAGGCAGCAGGCGCGCAAAUUACCCAAUCCCGACACGGGGAGGUAGUGACAAUAAAUACUGAUACAGGGCUCUUUUGGGUCUUGUAAUUGGAAUGAGUACAAUUUAAAUCCCUUAACGAGGAACAAUUGGAGGGCAAGUCUGGUGCCAGCAGCCGCGGUAAUUCCAGCUCCAAUAGCGUAUAUUAAAGUUGUUGAGGUUAAAAAGCUCGUAGUUGAACCUUGGGCCUAGCCGACCGGUCCGCCUCACCGCGUGCACUGGUUCGGUUGGGUCUUUCCUUCUGGAGAACCUCAUGCCCUUUACUGGGUGUGUUGGGGAACCAGGACUUUUAC